rnacentral:rRNA from 1 species
GGCCUGGUUGGACGGUCUGCCAUUUGGUUAGUACUGUCCUGACUGGGUCUUACCUUCUGGCAAACUGUCGUGCUGAUUUCAGUGCGGCAGAGAGCCAGGACUUUUACUUUGAAAAAAUUAGAGUGUUUAAAGCAGGCAUUCGCUUGAAUACAUUAGCAUGGAAUAAUAAAAUAGGACUUUGGUUCUAUUUUGUUGGUUUCUAGGACCGAAGUA